UGGGGAAUUUUGGACAAUGGGGGAAACCCUGAUCCAGCCAUCCCGCGUGUGCGAUGAAGGCCUUCGGGUUGUAAAGCACUUUUGGCAGGAAAGAAACGUCAUGGGUUAAUACCCCGUGAAACUGACGGUACCUGCAGAAUAAGCACCCGCUACCUACGUGCCAGCAGCCGCGGUAAUACGUAGGGUGCAAGCGUUAAUCGGAAUUACUGGGCGUAAAGCGUGCGCAGGCGGUUCGGAAAGAAAGAUGUGAAAUCCCAGAGCUCAACUUAGGAACUGCAUUUUUAACUACCGGGCUAGAGUGUGUCAGAGGGAGGUGGAAUUCCGCGUGUAGCAGUGAAAUGCGUAGAUAUGCGGAGGAACACCGAUGGCGAAGGCAGCCUCCUGGGAUAACACUGACGCUCAUGCACGAAAGCGUGGGGAGCAAACAGG
rnacentral:rRNA from 1 species